GCUGGGCAUGGUGGUGCAUGCCUCUAAUCCCAGCUUCUUGGGAGGCCAAGGCAGGAGAAUUGCAAGUUCAAGGUCACCCUCCCCAACUCAGUGUGACCCCGUCUGAA
rnacentral:sRNA from 1 species